rnacentral:rRNA from 1 species
UACGUAGGGGGCAAGCGUUAUCCGGAAUUACUGGGUGUAAAGGGUGAGUAGGCGGCAUGGUAAGCCAGAUGUGAAAGCCUUGGGCUUAACCCGAGGAUUGCAUUUGGAACUACCAAGCUAGAGUACAGGAGAGGAAAGCGGAAUUCCUAGUGUAGCGGUGAAAUGCGUAGAUAUUAGGAAGAACACCAGUGGCGAAGGCGGCUUUCUGGACUGAAACUGACGCUGAGGCACGAAAGCGUGGGGAGCGAACAGG